rnacentral:rRNA from 1 species
GACCAAGACAGGCCUUGGAUUGGCUCUCCCAUUCCCUGUGACAAGGACGACCUCGCCUUAUUUGCUGCGGCAACUAACAUCUUCAUCGGUUCAGGAACGCCUGUCAAGUUUUGGCAUGAUCGUUGGCUUGCCGGUGAUGCCCUGGGCCAGAUCGCGCCGGACUUACUUCAUCUAUGCUACAGGAAAAACCUCACUGUCAAGAAGGCACUAAAUGGGCAGCAUUGGCUUUCAGGUCUGCACCGUAUUUCUUCUGAGUCUGAGAUGAGGCAGUUCGCCAAUCUCUGGGCAAGGCUGCGCAGCAUUGUUCUUGAUCCAGCGACGCAUGAUGAGAUCACGUGGAACUGCAACGCUGCUGCAGCCUACACCACAAGCUCGGCCUACCGCUGCCAAUUCCUUGGCUCCUUUGUCGUCGCCAACUACGACAAGCUCUGGAAGUCCAAGGUCGAGGCCAAAUGUAGGUUCUUCUUCUGGCUCUUUCUCAAAGGCAAGAUACUCACCAAUGACAACCUGGCCAAGCGGGGAAUUCCCCACGGCCCCAAGUGCGCCCUAUGUGAUCAGUCUGAGGAAUCAGCGCUACAUCUCAUCAUCCAGUGCCCGUUUGCAUGA